AUGCUCAUCUCGCAGCACAUAUACUAAAACUGGAAUAAUACUGAGAAGAGUACCAUGGUCCCUCCAUAAGGACGACAUACAAAUUAAUGAAGCAUUCCAUAUUUAU
ensembl:snRNA U6 U6 spliceosomal RNA